rnacentral:rRNA from 1 species
AGACGGAGGGGGCUAGCGUUGUUCGGAAUUACUGGGCGUAAAGCGCGCGUAGGCGGAUUGAUCAGUCAGAGGAGAAAUCCCAGGGCUCAACCCUGGAACUGCCUUUGAUACUGUCAGUCUUGAGUUCGAGAGAGGUGAGUGGAAUUCCGAGGGUAGAGGUGAAAUUCGUAGAUAUUCGGAGGAACACCAGUGGCGAAGGCGGCUCACUGGCUCGAUACUGACGCUGAGGUGCGAAAGCGUGGGGAGCAAACAGGAUUAGAUACCCCAGUAGUCC